CCGAGUUAUACAACUCCCAAACCCACUGUGAACCUUACCUCAGUUGCCUCGGCGGGAACGCCCCGGCCGCCUGCCCCCGCGCCGGCGCCUGGGUCCGGCGCAGGGACCCCAAACUCUCUUGCAUUACGCCCAGCGGGCGGAAUUUCUUCUCUGAGUUGCACAAGCAAAAACAAAUGAAUCA
rnacentral:misc_RNA from 1 species